rnacentral:rRNA from 1 species
GAGCUUGCUCUCGGGUGACGAGCGGCGGACGGGUGAGUAAUGUCUGGGAAACUGCCUGAUGGAGGGGGAUAACUACUGGAAACGGUAGCUAAUACCGCAUAAUGUCGCAAGACCAAAGUGGGGGACCUUCGGGCCUCAUGCCAUCAGAUGUGCCCAGAUGGGAUUAGCUAGUAGGUGGGGUAACGGCUCACCUAGGCGACGAUCCCUAGCUGGUCUGAGAGGAUGACCAGCCACACUGGAACUGAGACACGGUCCAGACUCCUACGGGAGGCAGCAGUGGGGAAUAUUGCACAAUGGGCGCAAGCCUGAUGCAGCCAUGCCGCGUGUGUGAAGAAGGCCUUCGGGUUGUAAAGCACUUUCAGCGGGGAGGAAGGCGAUAAGGUUAAUAACCUUGUCGAUUGACGUUACCCGCAGAAGAAGCACCGGCUAACUCCGUGCCAGCAGCCGCGGUAAUACGGAGGGUGCAAGCGUUAAUCGGAAUUACUGGGCGUAAAGCGCACGCAGGCGGUCUGUCAAGUCGGAUGUGAAAUCCCCGGGCUCAACCUGGGAACUGCAUUCGAAACUGGCAGGCUAGAGUCUUGUAGAGGGGGGUAGAAUUCCAGGUGUAGCGGUGAAAUGCGUAGAGAUCUGGAGGAAUACCGGUGGCGAAGGCGGCCCCCUGGACAAAGACUGACGCUCAGGUGCGAAAGCGUGGGGAGCAACAGGAUAGAUACCCUGGUAGUCACGCCGUAACGAUGUCGAUUUGGAGGU